UUGCAUUUGUUUUUCAGUUUUGUGCGUUAUUAUUUUACAUGUGUUUUUAAAUGUUUUAUUUAUGCUUAUUAUUUUUCAAUCUAUGACUGCAAUACAUUUGGCGGGAUUCUGAUCCCAUACUCGUCCUCUGUAAAAUGCGCUGCACACAUCUGAAUAUUUGAGUUGAAUACAACAGUGUUGUAAAUACAACUUAAAGGGAUACUCCACCCCAAAAUGAAAAUUUUGUCAUUAAUCACUUUCCCCCAUGUCGUUCCAAACCUGUAAAACUUCUGUUUGUCUUCGGAACACAAUUUAAGAUAUUUUGGAUGAAAACCUGGAGGUUUGAGACUGUCCCAUAGACUGCAAAGUAAAUAGCAGUGUCAAGGCCCAUAAAAGGUAUGAAAGUCGUCAUCAGAAUACUCCAUCUGCCAUCAGACGUGCAAUCUGGGUUAUAUGAAGUGACAGGAACACUUUGUAAGCGAAGAAAUAUAGGUGAACAAAAAUAACGACUUUAUUCAAUAAUUCCUUUGUCAACGGUCUCCUCUGUGUCUCUCCAUAUCACUUUAUGCUGUGCAUGCUCUUCUGUGUCAUCCACGCCACAAGGAUGCGAUUGAUUCUGUUAUUUACUUGGCAGUCUAUGGGACAGUCACAGGCCUCCCGGUUUUCAUCCAAAAUAUCUUAAAUUGUGUUCCAAAGACGAACUGAGAUUUUACAGGCUUGGAACGACAUGGGGGUAAGUGAUUAAUGACAAAAUUUUCAUUAUGGGGUGGACGAUCCCUUUAACCACUGAUUUCUAGUCCUCAUUUGGAAAGCAAAACAAAGUAGCUUUGCUUUCACAAUGAAACACAGCUUCUCCACAACAUGGCGCCGUCGGUUAAUAAACUCACUGAAUUCAUUAGAGCAGUUAUUGAAUAAACAUUUAACUCACUUACUGAACUGCAAGUUAUUGCAGUAGCUGUUUUUGUUUAGUUUUUUUUGUACUGAAGGCUUGUAAAACUAAAAGUAAUUUCUGACUGGUUUUGUGGAACAUAAGCCCCACUCCUGAUUAUCCUCAUGAAGUGAAAGUAAUAUCUGAAUUAACCAUAUAUUUAUGUCUCAAUGGCUUUCAGUAUGCUAGGAAAGGCUAUCCAAAACAUAAAACUGGCCAAAAUAUGUGAUACACACUCAUCAUGCUCAGCUAGAAAGAUAUAGUUUCAUUGUUUAUAAAUAUAUACAUACAUAUAUACAGUAAGGUAAAAAAUUAUUUGUUCCCCUGCUGAUUUUGUAUGUUUGCCCAAUGACAAAGAAAUGAUAAGUCUAUAAUUUUAGUUGUAGGUUUAUUUGAACAGUGAGAGACAGAAUAACAACAAAAAAAUCCAGAAAACCACAUUUCAAAAAAGUUAUAAAUUGAUUUGCUUUUUAAUGAGUGAAAUAAGUAUUUGACCCCUUCGCAAAACAUGACUUAGUACUUGGUGCCAAAAUCCUUUUUGGCAAUCACAGAGGUCAGAUGUUUCUUGUAGUUGGCCACCAGGUUUGCACACAUCUAAGGAGGGAUUUUGUCCCACUCCUCUUUGCAGAUCCUCUCCAAAUCAUAAAAGUUUCUAGGCUGACGUUUGGCAACUCAAACCCUCUGCUCCCUCCACAGAUUUUCUAUGGCAGGGGUACCCAAACUCGGUCCUGGAGGGCCGGUGUCCUGCAGAGUUUAGAUCCAUCCCCAAUUAGACACACCUGAACCAGCUAAUCAAGCUCUUACUAGGCAUACUAGAAACCUCCAGGCAGGUGUGUUGAGGCAGGUCGGAGCUAAACUCUGCAGGAAAUCGGCCCUCCAGGACCGAGUUUGGGCACCCCUGUUCUACGGGUUUAAGGUCUGGAGACUGGCCAGGCCACUCCAGGACAUUAAUGUGCUUCUUCUUGAGCCACUCCUUUUGGCCUUGGCCAUGUGUUUUGGGUCAUUGUCAUGCUAGAAUACCCAUCCACAACCCAUUUUCAAUGUCCUGGCUGAGGGAAGGAGGUUCUCACCCAAGAUUUGAUGGUACAUGGCCCCGUCCAUUGUCCCUUUGAUGCGAUGCAGUUGUUCUGUCCCUUUAGCAGAAAAACAGCCCCAAAGCAUAAUGUUUCCACCUCCAUGUUUUAUGGUGGGGAUGGUGUUCUUGGAGUCAAAGUCAGCAUUUCUCUCCCUCCAAACAUGGCGAGUUGAGUUGAUGCCAAAGAACUCUAUUUUGGUCUCAUCUGACCACAACCCUUUCACCCAGUUCUCCUCUGAAUCAUUCAGAUGUUCAUUGGCAAACUUCAGACGGGCCUGUACAUGUGCUUUCUUGAGUAGGGGGGACCUUGCGGGUACUGCUGGAUUUCAGUCCUUCAUGGCGUAGUGUUACCAAUUGUUUUCUUGGUGACUAUGAUCCCAGUUGCCUUGAGAUCAUUGACAAGAUCCUCCUGUGCAGUUCUGGGCUGAUUCCUCACUGUUCGCAUGAUCAUUGAAACUCCAUGAGGUGAGAUCUUGCAUGGAGCCCCAGACCAAGGGAGAUUGACAGUUAUUUUGUGUUUCUUCCAUUUGCAAAUAAUCGCACCAAAUGUUGUCUCCUUCUCACCAAGCUGGGUUGCAAUGGUCUUGUAGCCAAUUCCAGCCUUGUGGAGGUCUUCAAUCUUGUCCCUGACAUCCUUGGACAGCUCUUUGGUCUUGGCCAUGGUGGAAGAUUUGGAAUCUGAUUGAUUGAUUGCUUCUGUGGACAGGUGUCUUUUAUACAGGCAAAAACCUGAGAUUAGGAGCUUGAAGGGUUAGUUCACCCAAAAAUGAAAAUUGGGCUGCAUUAUACUCAUUCCUGAGGCAUCCUAGGUGUAUAUGACUUUCUCCUUUCAGACAAAUCCAGUCGGAGUUAUAUUUAAUUUUUUUUUAUCUUUCAAGCUCUAUCAUUUAAGUCAGCGGGUGUUACAUUGCUUCAGUCCAAAAGACAUGUGUUGAAGGUGGUGGUGUUUUUUUGGUCAAUCGGUGUUUCUGUAAAAAAAAAAAAAAAAAAAAAACCAAUUGCAAUAAACAAACACUGAUAAGAGAUUGAUACGAAUUCUACUAAUAAGAAAAUAUAAAACGCACUAAGGAUUAAUGAGCUACUGGAUUUAUGAAUAUUUAUCAGGUUGUGUGCGUUCGCUCGAAAUGAUUUGCUGAAAUCCAUACAGGGACGAUAAACGUUUGUACAUUAGUUCCCCCCACUACCGGAAAAACCGUCAGUUUAGUCGCCCAGAGUAAAGAUUUAGUUGCAUAUGCGAGUGAUUUACUCGCUAUGUAGAAGGUUGAUUAGAAAGUGUUCUGUUUAAGUUUAAAUAUUUCUGAACCAAAAAUAAUUAUUAUCAUGCAUUUUUUACCAUGUUUGACAAAAGACACGCACUAAAAUGUCAUUCAGUGUAACAAUACUUAUAUACCAAAAAAUCUUUAGGUAUAUUUAAAAUCUGAAUCAUUUGAUGACAUAUUAAAAGACUCUAUUUAAGCAUCACAGUGCAGCCCUCAAAUAUCUAUUAACUUAUUUUUUAAAUCUUUAUACUUUGCCAAUGUCCUUCAAACCACUAUUUUUUCCAGUUUGCCAGCAAGAAGUUUUUGUAAGGAAGUGAAAAUCAUUUAAAAUAUAUAAAAAUUUAGUAUGAUCAUAUAUUCUUAUUUGUAUAUUUAUAAGUACAGGUCAGAAUAAGUAUAUUGUUUAAUUUUUAAAUAAAUAUAUGUGUUACACUGAAUGACCAUGGUUUGUUACUCUGAAUGACGAUUUGCCAAAAAGAGAGAUAACAUUGCCAUUGUUCCCAUAACUGAAAUAUUUUUAGUAUUAAUCCGUGUCAUUAAAUUAGUUUUAAUAAUAAUCCUGAUUAAAUGACUGCAGAAACAGAUGUUGAAAUAUAGUAAAUUCCUGCUUGCAGCCACAUUUAUUAAUACUUUCUGUUUGCAAACAUAAAUGACAUUAUCAGGAUGAGUAUUUGGGAUGGAGAAUCCCCUCAGUGAUCUCUCUUGAACUACUGACAUACUAUAGUGAGAGGGUCUCUCUGCCCAUAAUUAUUGUCAAGCUAUUAUUCCAACAAUUGCAGUCCUUAAUAUCCUUCUCUUUUCCUGGCUAAAGGCACGUUCACACCAAGUACGGUAAGGAUAAAGAUAAAGAUUUUUAAAAAAUAAUAAUAAUAAUUCAAAAAAGUGGGGGGAAACCCUUCUGUAUAAAAGCAGAUUCCACAGCACGACUAACGAUAACUGCACAGAGAAACAAUAUUGUUGGAAUCUCUUUUAUAUUAUUUGAUAUUGUUGGAUUUUUUUUCCAGCUGAUGAUUGAUAAAAGCAUUGACAGCCAAUUAGAAUUCAUUCAACUUUAAAGAACUCGAGCAUUUAAAGUGGCAGACAACAAAUCUGCAGCAGAAUGAAUAGUGCUAUACAGGCUUUAAGAGUACCACCCAUGCUACUGGGUCCACAUUUACUUUAUUAGCUUUUUUGGCUUUUUACAGUGCCUAGUGACUCCCUCUGUUCAUGGAUGUCUAUAAUUAAUAAAAAAAUCAAAUGAAAAAAUACCAAAAUGCAUUAAAAUAUUAAUAUUUAAGUUUAACACAUAUUUGUCAAUGCUAAAUAUUCCUCAGUUAUUUGUAAUAUAAGUGAAAAAAAAAUAUUUAUACAGUGAUACUGUCAUUCAGUGUAAUGGAUGACACUGUGGUGUAACAGAUAAUUUGCAUUACCCUGAAUGAUGAAACAUCUACAUAAGCUAAUAUUUCAGGCAAUCAAAUGGCCACUUAUUUCAAACAGUGAACUUGACCAGUAAAGAUAGUCAUGAUUAUUCACAACAUAUACUUUUUUUUAUUUUUUUUAAUCUAACAUUAAAAGUGUUUUUUGGCAUUUCACUGAAUGACAUGUGUUGUUGUAACCUAUGUUAGCACACCAUGAAAAUGUGAAAUUACCAAGAAUUUAAGAGCAAUAAACUCACUCUUCUGCAGCACCAGGUGCCAUUUAAUGAUGUCACAGACUGACGAAUGACUAUCAGUUUUUUUAUAUAUAUGAUUUCAGAAUAACAACUUAUUCCUGUUACACUGAAUGACAUCUGAUAAACUGCAUUUUCAGGACAAAAGUCCUGUCCAUUUAAAAUGCCAACUUGAAAAUGCGAAGACAACAAAUAUAUAUUUUUAACUUGGUAUUUUAUGUUUAUUUAAAGAUGUAUUGGUAAAAUCAAAGUCCGGACCAUUACGCUGAAUGACAAUUUUACACUUUGGAACAUUAUUUCCCCCAUAUUUUGACAUUUUAUUGUCACAAAAGUUAUUUGAAAUAUGAAAGUAGACUAUUUACUUGCAUUUAAGAUGUUUUUUAUGCAUUUUAAAUCACUUUUGUAAAUGUAAUUUGAUGCGGACACAAAAUGAUGCCUCGUCUUUGACCCACAUACAUACAUAAACAACAGCAACAGCAGAAGACCCCACCGGGUACCACUCAUCUCCACUACAAAUAGGAAAAAGACGCUACAAUUUUCAGGAGCUCACCAAAAUUGGACAGUUGAAGACUGGAAAAAUGUUGGCUGGUCUAAUGAGUCUCGAUUUCUGUUGAGACAUUCAGAUGGUAGAGUCAGAAUUUGGCAUAAACAGAAUGAGAACAUGGAUCCAUCAUGCCUUGUUACCACUGUGCAGGCUGGUGGUGGUGGUGUAAUGGUGUGGGGGAUGUUUUCUUGGCACACUUUAGGCCCCUUAGUGUCAGUUGGGCAUCGUUUAAAUGCCACAGCCUACCUGAGCAUUGUUUCUGACCAUGUCCAUCCCUUUAUGACCACCAUGUACCCAUCCUCUGAUGGCUACUUCCAGCAGGAUAAUGCACCAUGUCACAAAGCUCGAUUCAGUUCAAAUUGGUUUCUUGAACAUGACAAUGAGUUCACUGUACUAAAAUGGCCCCCACAGUAAUCAGAUCUCAACCCAAUAGAGCAUCUUUGGGAUGUGGUGGAACGGGAGCUUCGUGCCCUGGAUGUGCAUCCCACAAAUCUCCAUCAACUGCAAGAUGCUAUCCUAUCAAUAUGGGCCAACAUUUCUAAAGAAUGCUUUCAGCACCUUGUUGAAUCAAUGUCACGUAGAAUUAAGGCAGUUCUGAAGGCGAAAGGGGGUCAAACACAGUAUUAGUAUGGUGUUCCUAAUAAUCCUUUAGGUGAGUGUAUAUAUAAUAUAUGUAUACACUAGGGCUUGGCAAGUUAACACAUUAUUGUCGCGUUAACACAUUAAUUAAUUAAUGGUGACAAUUAUCUUACUGCGCUGUUAUUAUUAUUAUUAUUUUGCAAGUCCGUUGCUCACUGGCUCUGAAAUAGGAAGUUUCCAAUAGCUCGUGAAGGCAGCAGAGAAGCGCUCUCGCUCAGCACAGUGGAGUGCAUUGUUUUGUUAACUUUGUGGUUUAUUAUUUUGAGUCGUUUGGGACGACACAGCCCUCUCACAAUAUAUUGCUUUACAGAUCUAUCACUUUUGCCCCCAGAAAUGUUCAUGCAAUUGUGCUGCAGGUAUCAGAAAUUCUGCGCUCCGGCACGGUUAGCACUCACACUACAUGCCCAAGCCCAACUGAACCACACUCUGGGCCACCUCUUCCUAAUCGAACCACAACCGAGCAUGGCACGGAUCGUUCACACUAGUCAAACUAGUUACAACUAGCACCGGCACGAUUAAGAUUGCCUAGUGUGAGUACACCCUUAUUCUCCCGCAUCCCGCAGACAUGAGCUUCUACCCGCCCGCGCCAGCACCCGCACUCACCCAUCAAGUGUUGCCAUGUGUGCCGCGUUGGGUCCUGCGAUAGUACAGCCUUAAAGACACUGUUGUGUCCUACAUGGAGCGUAAAGAUCUGGACAUUCCUCCUGAGGUGGACGAGUUCUUCCCUGAAGAGAUCCUGCUCUCACAGUACACAGACACAUGGAAGUUAUCUGUUCUUCUCAGACAAGAAAGAAACCAAAGAUAGAUCCUGUAUGACGUACUUCUGUUGUCUUACCCAGUCACUCUCAUAUCAGAGAAAACUUAGAAAUGAUUUACAGAUGACUUCAGUACAAACUUUUGAAGACAGUGCCUUUUGUGCACCUUAGGCACAAUAUGCAGUACAGCUGCUGCAUAUUUGCUCCCUUAUAUAAAGCACUUUAUACUGUAAUAUUAAGGUACAAUCUGUCAAAGUAAUCUCUCAGAUAAUUAGCAAGUACAAUACAACUUGUUACAAAGUAUAGAAAGUUCAAAACAAUCAUUAAGUGUAACUUUUUUGCUUUAACUAUUUUCUCUGUUUUGUUUGGAAGUUGCCAACAAUUGCUUAACCAUUCCUCCUUUAUUUGUUUACUUGUUACUUUAAGAUACAUACACACUCAUUUAAGAAUGUGAACUGUUGAUUGUUGAAAUAAACACUCCACAUCGUGAGCCCAGACCUGGACUUGCACUUGUCCAUGUCUUUGUUUUUGUCCAUGUUUUUGAUAGCGUGUUGUUUUUUGGUUAAUGUUUUUUUUUUUUUUAAACAUAGGUGUUCAAUAAAAAAAAACAUAUAUAUAUAUAUGUAUGUAUGUGUGUGUGUGUGUAUCUCCUUUACAGCUUAUCAGGGAUUUCUAACCUCAUUUUCCAUUGCAUUUUUUUUUCUGUGCUUUUACUAUACUAAAAACAAUGUUUCUGUGGUCAUCAUGCCGGAAAAAUGCUGUGAUGUUUACUUUUUCUGUGACUAACAUGGAUUUGAAUAAAAAGUUAUUAAACAUGUUUACCUCCUCUUCAUAGUUGGCAUGUUGUAUAACAAGCAUGUUUAAAGAUUUUG
ensembl:lncRNA